UUCGGAGAUCCUAGCCUCCCUAUUUCCCCGGACAUGUCCGCCUUUUUGGCAAUUCCCCCCCGACGGGGAUUUGGGGACCCAAAAGCCAGACAUGUCCGGGGAAAUCCGGACGUAUGGUAACCCUAUAUUAUGGAGAGACAAUAGCCUCAUCAUUAAGCAUCCUUUGGAAGAAUUUUGUUAGUUGCCACAAUCAAGAGAACACAUGAAAUGUCUACAAUCCAUGAAUUGGAGGAUCAGGAGUCAUUUCUGGAGCAUUUCAAAGAAGGAAAAUAUUUCACAUCCAGUUGAUCAGCCAUUGGCUGCAGGUUGGACUACUGUAACAUUCUACUCAGAGCCAACCUUGAAGAGUAUUCUGAACCUUCUCCUAGUUCAAAAUGUGACCUGCCCCUUAAGUCUACCGGGCUAUUACAAACCAGUCAGCAUCCAGGAGAGACUCCUGUGAUGGUGAUCCAUACUGGAACCAAUUACACCAACUCAGGCACAAUUCUACAGAUCCUGGAAGACUUCAGGAAUCUGGGAAUGGAGCCGCAAGAUCUUCUUGGUAAUCCUUCCUGUCCCUCAGGCAAGAUAAGAGAGAAGGCAAAAGUUACUGAUGGUGAACAGUCAGUUAGGCAUCUCUUUGGGGUGGAGAGGCUCUCUCUUGAGCCAGCUGAAGACAAAAUGGAGGAGGUUCCCAGGGCCUUAUAUAUCUUUCCCUUGUGGGCGGAAACCCCUCUCUUCUCCUGUGUAGAAUCACAGCUACAAGAUGGAAUUUUGGAGUCACAUGGUUUGGAGAUACGGCAAAGACUGACACAGAGAGAGACUGGAAGAGACAGGUGAUGAAAGAUGAGAAUGAAAGUGACUAUUGUAACUCAGUCUUUGAAUUAACAACAGAUGAAAAGGAAACUGAACUAAUUCAAGGCUAAAACAUACCGGCGAUGUUUAUCGGUGUGAGGAAAAAGAUAAAGUAGGAGACAAUUACAGCUGAGCAUUGAUUCUGAAAGCUGGACUGUGGAUUCAUUUUGGAAAACAGAACGAUAAUGAAAGACACAGGAAACUUCAGCUUUUCAUUCCAAUUUGGGAUUAAAGGACAUUUCAAAAUGUCGGAAUUUCCCACAGCAUGGAAAUCUGGAGUUUGGACUAGCUCCUGGAGUAGAGAACCUGGCAUGCUGUACCUGGUUUAGCUUGUGUGGACAUAGUUUGGAUGUCACAACCUGUUUACCCCCUUGGUGACAAACACCAUGCAAAGAAUAUAUCUAACUCUUUCUGCAUGCAUUUUAUAAAUACACUCAGAGGGCCAGAACUUCUCAUGACACGGAGCUACAGUAAUCCUCACCUAGCAUAAAGCUCAAAGGAUGGAGGUCAGUGAAAGGUCAUGGAGGUCAAUGGAGCUGUACUGAUUGGACAGCUCAGGAUCUGGACCCGAAUGUGUGCAAUUAUGUCUGAAGAAUGAAUAGCCAAGCCAGUAUGACUAGCUGUGAAGAAUACAAUGUGGCUCUCAUAAACAGGUGUCGUAUUAUUGUUGUAAUUUUGCAUGCAUGCACUGUUGUUGGCAUUGAUUUGGUGCUUGCGUAGUAUUUUGCAUGUAUUCUUAUUAACUAUGGCUAUUGUGAACACAUUGUUUUCCAGUAGCACGCUGGGAACCUACUCACAGACCAAGGCCCCCCCUGUGCUAGGUGCUGUACAAAUGCAGAACCAAAGCACAGCUUCCCUCAGGAGCUUUUAUUACUUUCUGCAGCUAUAGGGCUGGGGCCUCAGCUGGUGUAAAUCCGCACAGCUGCAUUGAGUCACUGGAGCUAUGGCGAAUUACACAAGUUGAGAAUUUGGCCUCUGGUCUCAUUUUUCCAGUGGAAAGGUGGAGCAGUAAGUUUGUAGUCCCAAAAGGUGCCUGAGUACAGUCUGUUCUCUUCCUGAACUACAGCUCCCCCGUUUGUAGUAUCCCUCUGCCAUCUGCAGUGUCUGCUGUGGGGGAAGGCAGCAGGGAAGUUCUUCACCCUGGGGCUGCAGUCUCAUAGUGUGCUGCUCAGUACAGGAGAUGGGAGACGUUCAUUUUCACUGUCAGAGGGAAAUGUUUAAUUCAUCCCUCCUGUGCCCUGCAGGGACAUCAGCAUCGCAUCAUUACGGCGGCCGCCAGCCUCUGCCAGGUAAUCCACCUGCAGCUCCUGAGGGCAUUCUCUCUCUCUCUCUGGCAAACUGCAUCAUAGACUGCUCACAUUUAAAAGUUUCAGCAAAUAGGGUGUAUUGGCCGUGCCUAGUACAUGCCGACUCCAUUUUCCCUCUGCACUUUUCUAGGAUCCUUUCUUUGCCAGCAUGUUUUCAUUUCCAUUUUUAAGCCAGGUUUCAUGCCAAGGUAAUGUUAGUUUGAUGACCUUAUGGAUUCCAUCCACUCUUAGAGGUUCUUGCACUGUCACAAUGUGCUACCCACGUGUCUCAACCCUGAUGCUGAGGAAGCGGGCCGUGGAGGGAGAGGGGAACAUAGGCGCAGCCUGCCCCUCAGUGCCACUUUCAAACAACCGUCCAACACUGGAGUCAUCAUCAGGUAAGAGCCUCAGAAUUGCCAGACCCCACAUCCAUCUUGUCCAGCAUCCUGUCUCUGACUGAGGCCAUCACCAGAUACUUCAGAGGAUACACCCCACACUAGCCUAGGAAGGAUUAAUGAGACUGUAAAGGGGCAAUUAAGUGGAUAGGCCACCGCUGAGGAGAAUUAAGAGGCCUAAGUAACCCUGACUGAUGGAGCCCAGCUGAGAUGGAACAGGUGGGGCUAGUAUAAAGCAAGGAAGUUGGCAGCAGAAAACAGCAGCAGUGAGGGAGCCUUCAGCCACAGUCUGGAUAUUAAAAGAGGGAAGAAAAACCCAGGGGGAGGGUACAAGCCCCAGGCAGGGGUGAUGCAAGCUCCAUAAAAGUGGGGAGACCACCAGGGCCCAAACUGUGGCCCCAUCCCCUUGCACCAGCUUUUCCCCCAGUGCUCUGCCCCCAUACCACCCAUUCCCCCUGAGCCCCUGCCCUCGCAUCGCCUCUUCCCUCCAACAAGACCCCGCCCCACUUGCUCCUCUCCACUCCCUCUCCCCUGUUGCUCACCCUUACAGCCAGUAAAAAGUGAUGGGGCCAUGGCCCACUCCCCCGCCCCCCCCGCUUCUGGUGCCCCCGACCCUGAAGGAAGGGUUAAUCCAGAAGGGAGGAGGAGUGAAAGCCUGAGAGAGGCAGAGUAAGAAAAGGCUCAGGGGAAAACUAGUAAGGUGGGAUAUUGCAGACCCUGGCCACUGAUUAGAGGGUCCCUGAAUGCAGGGCCGGCUCCAGGCACCAGCCGAGCAAGCUCGUGCUUGGGGCGGCAGAUUCUACGGGGCGGCAUUCCGCCCAAUCCUAGGGCAGCACGGCCGCUUUUUGUUUUUGUUUUGUUUGCCAAUCCUAUAGGGGGCGGCA